CGGAACUCCCCAUCGGGCCCGUGACAACCGCCGCGAGGCCUCGACAGACAUUCUUCACCCCGAAUGCCGAUUGAAACCUCGCAAGGCUUAGCAUCAACUUCCGCAUCUCCCCGGUGAGCAACCGUUAUUAAAUCUUGCAUUUCAAAAAAAUCAUAAGUCAUUUUUAAAUAAGAACAAUAAAAUAUUAUUUUCUGGCUCACAGGGGUAUUUUCGUAAUUUUUCGUCAAAAAUCUCAAAACUUGCUAAAAAUGUAGUAGGUAAGCAGAAAAUAUAUAUUUAAUGAUUUAAAAACAAUUAAGUAUCUAAAACGUUCAUUUGAAAGCAAAUUGUUGACAACUAGUACUAUUCAAAAAUAAUAAAUAAAAUAUUCUAUUUUCUCAUAAAAUAAAUUUUUAUAGAAAUAUUCGUAAAUAAUUUUUCGCACAUGAAAGUAAAGUAAAAAUUGUAUGAAUAGAAAUACAGAUAACCAAAAUAUAAGUUUUGAUCUGCAAUGACACGUGGGCUCCAAUUGACCAAGAGGAUGUAAGACUGUGAACUCUUACUUUCUAUAAUGCAGUUCCGAGCUUAGUUCUCGUCCUACUCGACUAUCUACAAACUGUCCUGAGCCUGAAAAAUGUAUAGGAAGAAGGGGUGAGAUUUUAUAAUCCCAGUGAGUAAACAGAUACCAUCUAAAGUAUCUAAAGCCGAGUAAAUGGAGACAAUUAAAAUAAGUCAUCAUACUGUAAUUUCAUUACCUUUCAGUUCAUUUCAACCAAAUAAAAUCAAUCCAUAUAAAUCGAGUAAUCAACUUGGCUUAUGAAUUUCUUAAAACUUUGGCUCGUGCCAAAACUCAUACUCGGUGAUACCUUGCGCAGGGCAUCUAACCGAGUCCGCCAAGGCUAUUAAAAUUUUGUAUACACUUAAAAUAUAUUUUAGUUUGAGAAAAAUACAGCCGUUCCUUGGCGUUGGCUGAGUUCCCCUUCACGUGGUGGUUUGGCGUGAAGUGAACCCUAAGCUUUACCCCAGGAGAUACCCUACGCGCCUCUCCGUUCGAGGUAAUAAUAUAAUGGAGUUUACCGUGCCCCUCUAAUAGGCUGGUCCACGGAACCCCCUCUGCAGUAAAUAAUUAAUAUAUACUCCACCAAUUCAAUAAAAUUCAUUCUAGCAUGGCAUGGCAAUUUAUCACAAUCUAGCCUCUCAAGGCUGAAUACACAAUACAAAUAAUUCUGACACCAAAAUCAGUUUAGCCAUUCAUGCUCAUAUAUUGUCAUAAGCCAUUCAAUUUAAAACCAUAAAUUUACAACACAAGCAGGCAGUCUCCAAUUACUCUAUUUUCAAAACCAAUAUUCGAUUUUUCAGAAAAUUUAUAAAAUCAUUUUAUAAAAUCACAAUUUCUCUUAAAACAUAGCAAUUUACCAUUUAAACCCAUUUUUCAUAAAAUCACACAAUUGUAUAAAACUACUCUAGAUAAUUAAGACGAUAAUAAGUUUACUCACAGUAUUAGGAGUAGAAAUACUCCUAUCUU
rnacentral:lncRNA from 1 species